GCCUUUUGAUUUUGCAGAAGUCACAGUGUUUUUCACAGAGACAAACCUCUGCAUAUGGAAGGUAGCUGCAGGCCGGUGUUAACAUUGGCGAGCCCUCUUGCUGUCUGUGUCACCAGGAAAAGCACAGGAUUGUACUUGUGCUCCAAACUUCUGAUUUUGCUUUUCUCUACCAAGUGCUUUUCACCUGAACUAUUGUAUUGGAAGUCUGCAACAAAUUGAAUUUCAGCAUUGUAAUGAAUGCCCUGACCACAACAGCAGAAGACACAUUUUGUUGAUUAAUCAAAACCACCUUCACACCAUCAUGAAGAACUGGCUUACACUGAGUUGAGCAAGCAAUCAUUUUUACUCUAAUUCUGGUGUAUUUUUUUCACAGUCAAGUACAAGCUUUUUGCAAACCCAGAUACCAGUG